rnacentral:lncRNA from 1 species
UUUUUAUUACUAACAACACAAGAGAUCUAUAAGGGCUAGUUCUUGACCUAAUAGUUCCAUUCCUCAACAUUUCAGUUAGUUGUUUCUCAAUUUCAGACUUUUGUGCAGGUGCAUACCUGUAAUGUCUGACAUUGACUGGCUGGGCUCCAGGGAUUAAGUCAAUAUGAUGAUCAUAUUGUCUUUCAGGAGGUAACGUGGUUGACUCUUUGAAUAGAUGCUUGUACUCAGUUAACAGCUGUUGUAUUUCAGGCUGAACUGCAGCUUGUUCAGGUUUUGUGACUGAAUGGACCAACCCUACUUCCUCUUUCAACUGGGACUUGGAAACCUGAGGAAACAUCUGCACACAAUGGGCGACAGCUUGCCUUCUUAAGAGGCCCUUGAAUUUUCUAGCACUGAUGGCAUUACAUUUUGUCACCUCAGGUUGAACCCCUUUCAGAGUGAUUCUCUUGCCUUUAUAAGUGAAUCUUAUGAUUUUCUUCUUCUAAUGCACCCACAUGGGACUGCAUUCUUCUAACUAAUCCUCUCCAACUAUCAUGUCAUAGCACUUAAGAGGUAAAAUACCAACAUCUGAUGAGAAUAUGUGUUUUUGAGAGACCCACUAUAAAUUAAGAAUUCUCUAGUGCAAGUCAUUGGGCUACCAUCAGCUGCCACAAAAUAAGCUGCUUCACAUUCUUGUGUUGUAUACUUCAAUUGGUUAGCCAAGUUCUCAGUAAUGAAAGACCCCACACUGCCUGAAUCUACAAGGAUCAGCGCCUCCUGAGUGCCUAUUAUGCCUUGCAACUUCAUAGUUCUCUUGAAAGUAACUUGAGAUUUACUGUCUCCAAUUGCCAUGACAACAUCAUUCUUCUGUUCAUCAUCACUUGGACAAGAGUCACAAUCUUUAGUAUGCUUCAGAGUAUCCAAUAAUUCUUCAAUCACGUUUAGAGAUACUUGUGAAGGGCACUUAUGGUUGUGGCCCCAUUUUCUCUCCACCCUUGUAAUAGAGCCCAUUCUUCUUUCUAAAUGCCAUCAGAGAUUUGACCUUUUCAUCAGAGUCACCUUUGUCAGCUUUGGAUUUGCUUGGCGCAGCUUUCUCAGAUCCCCCAAUCUUGUUUUUGUCAGGCACAAAGGAUGGCUUGUAAUUGGAUUUGUGGAAAUCCCUUGCCAUUGCUUUGCCUUGGCUUGCAGCAAUUUCUUCCUCUUGCAACAAGGCUAGGGAAGACGCUACCAACACAUCUUUUGGUUUGUGUAGGGCAAUCGCUGCUCUUAUUUCUUCUUUGAGGCGACCUAGAAAUCAGGUGACAAAAUAUGUGCCGUCAUACGCAGUGUUGUACAACAGAAUGCCAUGUGAUAGUUCCUCAAACUUCUCCAGGUACUUUGAAACAGAACCAGUCUGACGAAGGGCAUCAAGAUGACGAAGCUGCACCUAGUACUAGUCUCUGUCAUACCUGUCUAGAAUAGUAGCACAGAAUGUAUCCCAGUCCAGCACUCUGCCCCUGCGCUCAAAGGUUUGAAGCCAUGCCGCAGCAGUACCCUUGAGAUUGAAUGCCGUGAACCUUGUCUUCAGGGUUGGACUCACCGAAUACACCUCGAAAUACAUUUCACAGCGAUCAUGCCAUAGCCUCGGAUUAUCACCAUCAAAAUGGAAAAACUCGAGUUUGGGCAAGGGGGUUUGUCUGUCCCAAACUCUCGAUUCCUGGUAUGCGUGUCAAAUUGAAGGUGAGCUAGGUCAAGGAACGUACUCGUGACUGGGCGUGGCGGGUGAGAUCCAACGAUCCCACCGCUAGCAUCCUGUGGUGGAGCUAUGUUGAGGUUGAAAGGGUUGACCCAGCUUGGUGGCGGUGGAGGCGGAUGCCGUGGAAUCGGCAGUGGCGUCGACUCAAGUCGAUGUAGGCGAGUCGCCGCUUCCUUCGUCUUGUUCAGCAUGUUCCCAAGGUUUAUCCGCCAUGGAUUGCCAAGCCUCUAGACCGCUAAUCUUGUCCAAAGACUUCUGCAUCAUCAACUCAAAUCCCUCGAACUUCCUCGUGAGAUCCUCAAGAGUGGUCGCCAUUUGCGUCUGGACAUUCGUGGGCUUCCGGGGCGGCGCUAGGUCUCGCAAACUGGAUUUCGCGAAAUUUUUUUGUGGAAUUUGUGGUGGACUAGACCUGGGGGGGGGGGGGCAGGCCGUGCGACCGCCCGGGGCCCAUGAAGUCGGAGGGCCAUGACCAUAUAGAUACUUAGUACAUAUAAUUAUAUUGAUGAAUUUGUUUUAGUCUUUCUAAAUGACCCGCAUAACAAUUGGAGCCUGACUUCCCAAAUUACUCACUUGGCCCGCAUAGUAAUUACUUGCUAGGCCCGCUUAGUGAUCAGAGGCUUAGAGCAAACUGCCAGGCCAAGCUGCCAGGCCUGCCAAAUUGGUGAACGGAGGAUCAGACUCAGACUCCAACGUGGAGGAUCAGGCCUGCCUGUCUAGUCGUGAAUCAUACGUAUACCUGGUCCUGGUCGUAUACGCGCUCGCCGCCGCCGAUCCAAUCAUCGAUUCGUCGCCUCAUCGCCCGUCGGCUCCUGCUCGUUGCCUCGUUGACGGCAGGCAUACCGUAUAUGACCAGGAGUAAGCGAAAGCGAUCCAAUCCUGGUUGCGCCAAUCAUCGACGUCAGGUCUCAGGUUGCGCCGUUGCAAUCGAAGGUGUAGCUUUAAUUGGGGUACGUGACUUUAGCUGAUACGUUUUCAUUGAUUCACUUAGGAUGAACAGGCAAUUGAUGCGAUAUUCGUAUCUAGCUUCUUGGUUUUUGUAAACGAGGGCAGCAGUUGGUUAAUUACCAGCGUAAGCUACCCUGCAUUACCGAGCGCCGCAUCUUGGAUUCUUGGAGUGUGUCAGAGGCGAGCGCUUCUAUCUUUAUUUUCUUUUACGUCAAUUUCGUGAAAAAGCAAUCAUCUAAUUAAUAUUAUUUCUUCGUGUAGUAAUUCCAUCAUUCGUCAAUUGCGUAGAAGGAGCAGCCCGCAGACAACGUUUCGUACUUUCGUUUGACCGUCACCGUAAGCAACACGCCAAUUGAUUAGUAUUUCAAUUUUUUUUCUUAUUUGUUUUUUGUAUGCGCUAUGCUUAUACUGAUUGUGGUAGGAUUAAAAUUUCUAAUUCAAUGUAUUUAUUUGAAUAUGAUAGAUGUUGCCUAAGAAGCAUUUGUCGGGUGCUCAGAAAAGAAAAAAAAGAAAAUAAGAAGAUCAGUUCGUAGAAUCGCAGAGAUGUGCUCUACAUAAGCCCUUGUUUACUUCACCCCCAACUCCCAACUUUGGCACUAUGCAAAAAGAAGAUUCCCCAUCACAUCAAACUUGCGGUACAUGCAUGGAGUACUAAAUGUAGACGAAAUCAAAAACUAAUUGCACAGUUUUGUUGUACUUUGCGAGAUGAAUCUUUUAAGCCUAAUUAGUCAAUAUUUAGACAAUAAUUCAUAAAUACAAACGAAACGCUACAGUGUCGCAUUUAUGGCAGAAUGCCAAUUUUGCCACUCCCAAAUUGGCAAGUAAACAAGGCCUAAGUUUUUUUCAGUUACAAAUAAUGGUGAGAUCAGUGAAGAUCAGGGGCAGGAACAAGUUGCAGAAGUUGAUGCUAAUGAAGGUGCUACAGUAGGGCAUAAUUUAAAUGUUGAAGCUGAUGCCAAUGAUCAUACUCAGGCUCUGGGAGGUGAUACCUUACAACCUUCAGAUGAUACUGAAACUGCAAAUAUUGAUGAACAAGAAGAUUCAGUUUUGACUAUUUUUGAUCCUAGAACAUGGGAAAAUCUUGACAAUAGCAAAAAAGAUAUCUUAAUUGAGAAAGGACCUGUGAGAGAAAUGAAUCUACAAUUCCCUUGUGAUCCUAGUGGUAGACAUUUUUCUUAUGCUUACUAUUUCAGGAAAUUAUCUAAUGGUGAGUUUGUUGACAGAAAGUGGUUAGUUUAUUCUAAGCAUGUGGAUAAGGUUUAUUAUUUUUGCUGCAAGUUGUUCAAAUCAAAUCAGAACAAGUCAUUGUUAGCAUCUGAUGGAAUGAGAGAUUGGAAGCAUCUUAGUGAGAAACUGAAAACACAUGAGAACAGUGUGGAGCAUUUGUCAAACAUGAGUACAUGGAAUGAGGUUCGGCUUAGAUUAAGCAAAAAUGAAACAAUUGAUGAUGAAAUGCAACGGGAAAUUACAAAGGAAAAGGAGCGUUGGAGAUAGGUCCUGGUAAGAAUAGUUUCUGUUGUGAAGUUUCUUGCUAAACAAAAUCUAGCCUUUCGAGGAUCAAAUGAGAAAGUUUAUGAACGUAACAAUGGUAAUUUUCUAGCCACAGUUGAAAUGAUUGAUGAAUUUGAUCUUGUAAUGCAAGAACAUAUUAGGCGCAUUCAAAGUAAUGAAAUUCAUCAUCAUUAUCUUGGCCAUAAUAUUCAGAAUGAGUUAAUUUCUAUUCUUGCUGAUGCUGUGAAAAAUCAUAUCUUAAAGAUUAUCAAAGAUGCCAAGUAUUUCUCUGUUAUCUUGGAUUGUACCCCAGAUGUGAGCCAUGAAGAACAAAUAACAUUAAUUGUGCGUUGUGUUAAUAUGUCAAGUACCAUUCCAAGAGUAGAGGAAUUUUUCUUGGAGUUCUUACAGGUUCAUGACACAUCUGGUUUGGGGCUUUUUAAUGUUUUGUUGGAUGCACUUCGGUCUAUUGAUUUGAACGUUGAUAAUGUGAGAGGUCAAGGUUAUGAUAGUGGUUCAAAUAUGAAGGGAGAACAUCAAGGUGUGAAGACACGUUUGCUUGAAAUUAAUCCAAGAGCAUUAUAUAUGCCGUGUGCAUCUCAUAGUCUGAAUCUCACUCUUUGUGAUAUGGCAAAAGCUUCCAAGACAGCUAUUUCAUUCUUCGGUGUUAUACAACGGAUAUAUUGUUUGUUUGCACGCUCUACUAAAAGGUGGAAAAUUUUGACUGAUAAUGUUGAGAGGUUUACUGUCAAACCCUUAUCUAAUACUCAUUGGGAGAGUCGAAUAAAGAGUGUUCAACCUAUCAGGUAUCAAGCCCCACAAAUAAUAUCAGCAUUGAAGGAAGUGGAAAGAACUGCUACUGAUGAUCCAAAAACAGUAAGUGAUGCUCAAUGAUUAGUAACUGUACUUGAGAAAUUUGAAUUUAUAGUUGGUAUGAUUAUCUGGGAUGAUAUUUUAUCUACUAUCAAUAUUGUGAGCAAAAAGUUACAAUCUAAGAUUGUAUGCUUAGAUGCUACUCUCAAACAAAUUGAGGGGCUCAUCUCAUAUUUUCAGAAGUACAGAGAAGAAGGCUUCAAUGCUAGUAUUGAGACUGCAAAAUCUAUUGCAUCUAGUAUGGACAUAGAGCCAAAAUUUCCUACAAAACAUCAAGGUAAAAGAAAGAAGCAUUUUGAUGAACAAAAUGAUGAAACUGAAGAAUUACAACUUUCAGCUAUAGAUGAGUUCAAAGUUAAUUACUUCCUAGUUAUUGUGGAUGCUGCUAUUUCUUCAUUGACUAGUCGAUUUGAACAGCUAAAGAAAUUUGAAGAAAUAUUUGGUUUCUUAUUCAACUCAGAAAAUCUGAAGUCCUUGGAUGAUAAUGAUCUACGAAAGUGCUGCACUACUUUUGCAAAAUCUUUUUCUCAUGAUAACAAGUCUGAUGUUGACUUGGAUGAUUUUUUCUCUAAAUUAAAAGUGUUGCAAGUAUCUGUGCCAGAGCAACUGAUGUCAGCAUCCGAGAUUCUGCAAUUUGUUAAAGUUGCAGAUUGCUACCCGAAUGUCUCCAUUGCAUAUCGAAUUCUCUUAACUAUUCCAGUGACAGUAGCAUUAGCCGAAAGAAGUUUCUCCAAAUUGAAACUAUUGAGAAAUUAUUUGAGAUCAACUAUGUCACAAGAAAGAUUGAAUGGCUUGGCUAUAUGCAGCAUUGAGAAGGAUAUUUUGGACGGCAUUAAUCUUGAUACCAUUCUUGAAGAUUUUGUAUCAAGAAAUGCUCGAAGAUGGUUUUUUACAAAGAACUGGAGCAUUAUAUUUUUAUUUGAGGUAAUCAUAAUGGUUAUUAUUUUUAGUUUUUUGUUGCACUAUUGUUAUGUUUUAUGAGCUAUAUAUAUUGCAAAGUAGUUUUAUUAUUUGUACCGUAUACUUAAGUUUUCAUAUUAAAAAGUAGUUCAACGGGCCCUUAUCUUCGUCCUUGCUCACGGGCCCUUCAAAUUAUAGCUUAUCUUCGUCCUUGCUCACGGGCCCUUCAAAUUAUAGAGCUGGCCCUGUCUUAUACUCGCUUACCAGGCUCUCGGCUCGCACACCUGCUUGCACCAUACACGGCCCACGGCGCAUACAAACCAGCCCAGCACAUGGCCCAUGACGCUAACCACUAUGCUUCUUCCUUGAGCUCAGCAGGGUCAUAACAGAUCCAUCCAGCGUACGUAUUGCCUGAUCGAUCUGGCCGAUCGAUGCCGUGUCUUCGCUUUGCCCGAGAUCAUCGUACGUUGCUGCAGGGUAAGGUCGCCAUCCUUCUGCAAACAGACUGCGUGUCUUCUUUCUGUUCAUUCAGGAACCUCUGCGCUUCAGACAAAUGUAGUUCCAGUUCAUGGCCUCGGCCACUACUUUUGUGCGCUGGGGGUUCAGAGCAUACCUGGGCUAGCGUGGGCUCCAAGCCUAGCAAAGCAUAAGCCCGGCCCAGAGGAUGAAUGACCCAAAGUACCUUUUCUUUUCUUUUAGUUCUUUGUUUGCGUGGUUCUUUUCUUUUAGUUAGCGCCAUUGGAUAUGUCAUAUUUCUUUUACAAGCACAAUACUCUGUAUUUGUUAAAUCCGGUUCUGCGUGAGAGUAUUUAAUUUCAUCAAUUCUUAUUUUAACGGAAUUCGAGCUUGCCCGCUCUGAAAAAUGUGCAACCACAUGGUCUGCCAUUCCUUCUCAGCUACGCGUGGAGUAUACCGUAUAUUGGGUAGUAACCGGUCGUAUAUCGGUACACUUCAUACGAUGAUACGAGCACUGGCGGAGCCAAGCCCGGCCACCCUGGGCAUCUGCCCGGGCUCAUCACCUGCCAGGGCUCAUCACCUGUCCAAACCAUUAGCUAAUUUAGUGUUCCACUGUUGGUUAGCACUAGUUGUAUACCCGGAGAGUGGAGACGCCCAGACUCAUCGAAGUCGCUGGCUCCGCCACUGGAUACGAGGUUCAUAGAUAUUAUUAUAUAUCUAGACUGCACUAUAUCUUUAUACAUAAUAAUAUACAUGCACCUAUAUCUAUAUGCAUAAUAAUAUAUAUGUACCUAGCUAAAACGAUCUAAUACUCCCUCCGUCCCAAAUUGUAGAUUGUUUUAACAUUUCUAGAUUCAUAGAUUUUGUUAUGCAUGUAGGUAUAUAUUAUGUCUAGGUUUAUAGCAAACAUUAUGAAUCUAGAAAAUACCAAAAUGAAAUACGAUAUUUCGGAAACGGAGGAAGCAGGAAAAAAGGUGCCGUAGCACGAGUACAAGUAUAGAUACUUUGUGGACCCUGGAUAGAAGCACAACAAACUCUACUUGCUCACUACUCCAAGCAAAUCGCUAAGAGACACACACACACGUGGUGACGCGGCACAUGAGGCUGCGGACUCCCGGUCACCCGCUACCCCAUGCAAUGCAAAUGCAUUCCUCCGACGAUCCACAUCCAGGACGAAACAUGCAGCAUCAUCUACCGACAACAAUCAUUAUUACCUUUUUUUCCGAAGGGGCUGGAUCCCAUAUAUUAAAAGAGCCGGGCUCUUACAGCAAACACCCUGGAGGAAAGAAGAUUUACAAACAAGUCCACAUCAUCCAUCCUCCAGAAACGAAACUUUGCGUACAAGACCCUGACAGAAAUCAGAUUUGAAAUUGAGGUCCUUAGAUCUUGACGCAGAACUCCUGCACAUCGCACCGCUUCUGGUUCCGCCGGAGUCGGAGAAGAGGUACGACAGCAAAGAGAAGAACUCCACCGAGACCGUCGAUGAGACCUCCAGCUUGAAGCCGCAAGACAUUCCCCCUCCGGCGCACAUCGGCUGUCAUCGUGUUGAUCUUGAUCUUGGACCGGCGGCACCGAUGAAAUCGGCGACCCAGAAAAGAUCCGAACUGCUAGCACCAGCAGUCCGGAAAGGAGCCCCAAGAAAGGGAAAACCAGUCCCCCUUAUCCAAGACAAAGGAGAACACAAGUAACCUCACAGGAUGAACCACGAAGAACACCUCGUCGGAAUCGCCAUGGAGGACCAAAAUCUUCACUCGGCCACCGGGGAUCCUACCGCCGGAGACGAAGCUAAGGAAACCGAAGCACCACGCAGCUGCCUCGCCGAAGCCGAUGCCGGAUCCACCGCCAUCACCAUCGAAGAAUAGAUGGAUGCACUUUAUUUGCCGGAACAGUGGCAGCACCACCACCGGAACCCUAAGCUCCCUCGCCAACGACGGCGAUGAGCAACCCUAGCCUACUAGACUAUACACCCUAGCAGCUAAAACUACUCCAGCCGUCGAUCCGCCAUUUCCCCCAUCCGCUCCGGCGUCGGAAAGGCCGUCGGAGGGAGGGGAACGGCCAGAUCGACGCCGGAAAUGGCACCGCCCUUUUCGCCUGCUCUUUACUGUAGAAGGGGAAAAGAGAACAAUCAUUAUUACUUAUGUCUUAUAAAUCCAAUUUUGGAUCAUAUACGUGCGU